UUCCAAAAUCAAGUAUAGAUCUAAUAAGGCAAAAUCCACUUUCUUGAAAACUGAAGACAUUGAUUACCUGUUUGAUUACAAAAAAUUGAAGAAGAUCCUGAUAAAGGUCAGCACGCAAAUGAUAGUUCCCCCUAAAAGACAAGCAUGUAGGACGUUUGCCCUCUUCCUUGGGCCCAGCAAGGUGAAGUGGCACAAUGCUGCCUCUAAAAUAGAUUCACCAUCCAAAAGAUAUACCGGCAAGCUGUUGAGGAGAGCUACUGUAAGAGAAACUUGAAAUGUGAAUAUUAAGCUUUUUUCUAGAACUUUAGGAAGAUAUGCACUGAAAGCAAAUGCCCAACGAGGUUGAUAAGCGGUUAAGUGAACGGAGUGUGCCAUGGAGAUGGCAUCACCAACAAAAACAAAAGUCCCACCACAACCAUCUUUAGUGAAGUCUGCAGUUUCAGAAUGUGGAAAAGAGUUCCCUCCAACUUGCAAGCAUUCUGGAGAAUAAGGGCUAGAAUAGGUGAUCUCAGCCCAUAUUAACCCAGGUAAUUGGACAGGGCUUAAACAAGUUUCAUCCUGAGAACAAAUGCAGCUGCUUCCAUUGGUUAUUUCUGUAACCCUUCCAUGACUACAUUUAUUAAGUUUGACAACAUCAGUAGCACUCAAGCAAUGCCUACUCCCUCUUUUGUUCAGAUGAUCAUCUCCAUUGCUGACGUCAUCUAAUUUACUAGAAUCAAAGCAUUGAAUGGCUACAAAUUCAGUAAGAUCAUUAGGACAAGAUGAUUGAUUAUAUACCAAGUGAAUCUUCUUGCUUUCUUCAAUCAGAGAAGUAGGAACACAAUAACCUUUUCUGCUAUGAAC
rnacentral:misc_RNA from 1 species